GCAAACCUGUAGUCAUAUUUAGUGUACUUGUAUAUUUGUAUUCUACUUAAUUUAUAAAAGGCCUUACUGUAAAAACAAAUCCGUAAAAAUACAGUACAAUAUACCCUAAUAAUUAAAGGAAAUUUUCCGUAUUUGGUUUUUACAGGAUGUUUUUCCAUAUGUUUUAAUUACGCAUGGCAUUGUGGGAACAAGAGCGAAGAGAAGGAGAGUUUCUCGGUCAAAGUUUCAUUUUAAUGUCGGUUUUCGAAUUUAGGAAACCCGUUUUUACCCUUCGUGGUAAAUUAUAUGUUGUUAAAUGUCACAAAAAAUUGUUUACGUAAGGUUAACUUAGUUGCUCUCUGGCUUGUUUGGCAAAUGAACGUCGGAGCCGUCGCACUCAACAUUUCUCUGCCUAUCGUCAGACAUCUUCCUCGUGGAGUUUUCUGCCAAAUGAGCAAGCUGUCUGUGAAGCGACUGUGUAAACCGAGGCGUCCGACAGAAUGCCACUUCAGGUCAGCGGUCCGGACGUGAUUGCUGCUGUACUGUGAAUCUCAAGCACACCCGCAUUCUUAUCACGGGUGAUGGGCAGUUCAGGAUUGCUGUCGUUCAGGAAGUUAAUUGUUGCGGUUGUGAGCUACAAAUACCCAGAAGAGGCGGCACUUACAUUGGAAUCCAUACAGAAAAUUUUCCUGUGAAGAAAUCCUAAACGUGGUUUGAGAUGAAGGCAACCAAGUGGCUGCGCAUUCCUCCAAGACUCUUGCAUGGACAAUUUUGAAAAUCCAUGUAAUAUUUGAGCUUUUUUAAAAUAAAAACAAAAAUGGCACUUGUAUUAAACAUGCUGAUAAAUGGGAAAUAAUACAUCCCCUAUAAUGAAUUGCAUCACUUUAAUGAUAUUUCAGUUACAGUGAACUUCAAAAUUCUGUUGUCAAGCCACUGGAGUCACAUACUUUACUGAUGUCUUUACAGAAGUCAACAUUUGAAGUGGAUCAAAACCUUUUGCCAAAGUUGCCCUAUAACCAAAACAAUACUCAUUCAUGUCUUAGGACAAUUUUGAUAAACUUUACUGAUCCACUUCAAAUGUGGACCUUGAAAAUGGUAGUUGUAUAGACUGUCAAUAGAGGGACAGAAAGUACCCAUGUUUAAUUAAAAAUACUGAUUAAUUAAUAAUUAAUGAAUUUGUGUUUUGAAAAAUGAAUGAAAGUGGGUUUGGAAUUGUAUGAGGGUGAGUAAUUGACAGAAUUCACAUUUUUGUAUGAACUAUCCCUGUAAACAAUAUUGUUUUCUCUUAUAAGAAGAAAGUUUUGAAUCUUGACUGUUUUACAGUUUGAAGUUUAAAUUUUGUGAUAACUUUUUAGUGGAACACCUGUAUUGUACAGAUGCUCAUGUUUCCUUUUUUUUUUUUUUUUUUUUUUUUAAUUCUGUCUGUUACUGUUUAAAGCUAAACUGUCUUUUACAAUACAGGCAUUUUUCAGUGUUUGACACAUUGUUAAAUGAAUUGAUUAUUUGAUAUCGUUUAGUCCUAACCCAUUUAAGGAAAACAUAAGCCAUUGAAUGCACUUUUAAGAAUGUUUACAUGAAGUAUAAACCAUGUUCAAGUUGUAUAUUGUGCUGGAUUUAUUUGCUUUAUAAAUAUAUAUAUAUUUAUAGAUAUAAAUACACCAUUAAAACAGAAAAAGUCCUGUUUUUUUUACUGGUGGCAGACUGUAAAUUAACAGACUGUAAAUUUACGGUACAAAGUCCAGGUAAUGAGCUGCCAGUACUUUUUCCGUUUUUUUUACAGAAUUUUUUUCUCCUAGGAACAAGUGUUGCAAAUGAGUUUCAGCUACAAGAACUUUGAUACAUGUAUGGGAUGACUGUUAUUUCAAUUUCAUCUGUGUUUAUUGUAUCUGUCCCUAACAAA